rnacentral:tRNA from 1 species
GGAGAGGUGUCCGAGUGGUUUAAGGAGCUGGUCUUGAAAACCAGUGACUCCUUCACGGAGCCGUGGGUUCGAAUCCCACCCUCUCCG